UGGAGUUGGCAAUAAUAUCUUUUGAGGUGCUCACGCGUUCCCUCUGCAAAUGUAGAGGUCUAAGCUUGAGAGCCACCUUAAGAGACGCCACUCUA
rnacentral:ncRNA from 1 species